AGUGAACGCUGGCGGUAGGCCUAACACAUGCAAGUCGAACGGCAGCACAGUAAGAGCUUGCUCUUACGGGUGGCGAGUGGCGGACGGGUGAGGAAUACAUCGGAAUCUACUUUUUCGUGGGGGAUAACGUAGGGAAACUUACGCUAAUACCGCAUACGACCUACGGGUGAAAGCAGGGGAUCUUCGGACCUUGCGCGAUUGAAUGAGCCGAUGUCGGAUUAGCUAGUUGGCGGGGUAAAGGCCCACCAAGGCGACGAUCCGUAGCUGGUCUGAGAGGAUGAUCCGCCACACUGGAACUGAGACACGGUCCAGACUCCUACGGGAGGCAGCAGUGGGGAAUAUUGGACAAUGGGCGGAAGCCUGAUCCAGCCAUACCGCGUGGGUGAAGAAGGCCUUCGGGUUGUAAAGCCCUUUUGUUGGGAAAGAAAAGCAGCAGGUUAAUACCCCGCUGUUCUGACGGUACCCAAAGAAUAAGCACCGGCUAACUUCGUG
rnacentral:rRNA from 1 species